UACGAAGGGGGCUAGCGUUGCUCGGAAUCACUGGGCGUAAAGCGCACGUAGGCGUCUUUUUCAGUCCGAGGUGAAAUCCUGGAGCUCAACUCCAGAACUGCCUUUGAUACUGGAGAGCUUGAGUCCGGGAGAGGUGAGUGGAACUGCGAGUGUAGAGGUGAAAUUCGUAGAUAUUCGCAAGAACACCAGAGGCGAAGGCGGCUCACUGGCCCGGUACUGACGCUGAGGUGCGAAAGCGUGGGGAGCAAACAGG
rnacentral:rRNA from 1 species